rnacentral:rRNA from 1 species
GAUCCUGGCUCAGGAUGAACGCUGGCUACAGGCUUAACACAUGCAAGUCGAGGGGCAGCAUGAACUUUAGCUUGCUAAGUUUGAUGGUCGACCGGCGCACGGGUGAGUAACACGUAUCCAACCUGCCGAUGACUCGGGAUAGGCCUUUCGAAAGAAAGAUUAAUACCCGAUGGCAUAGUUCUUCCGCAUGGUAGAACUAUUAAAGAAUUUCGGUCAUCGAUGGGGAUGCGUUCCAUUAGGUUG